CUCAGGGCUCCGUCCCAAGACCCUGGAAUCAUGAGCUGAAAUCAAGAGUCGGACACUCAACCGACUGCCAUGCCCAGGCACCCCUAAUGACCCUACUUUCCGGCAGGGUUGUCCUAUUGUGCAACUCCAGGGAGCACCAUUUUGACAGACUGCAGUGGGAAUGGUGCCUGCUGGUGUUGUGGAAGCCAGGAGUCCUACUUUCAUUUGCAUCUUUAUGCGUGUCAUACCUCAUUGGCACAUACAAUUUUAUAUAACUGGAGCUGUUUAACAACGUUGUGUCAACAAAGACACGAUAAAAAAUACUUUUUCUCCCCCCAGGGGGAAGCUUACCCUUUUUCUAAGGUAAUUAACAUUAACAACCUGGUCCACAUCCUUUCACAUUCACAGAGUCAUAUACAACCACAUGUGCAUGCACAAAUGGGGUCAAGGUUUAGGUUGUUUAUUUUAAAGAGGAUUAUAGUUCAUACACUUCUCUGCAUCUAGCUUUUCUAGCACAACAGAAAAUUAUGAAAUUCCCCAAAGGCCACAGGAAUAGCUCUAUUUUUAAAGACUGCAUUAACAGUCCACAUAUGCAUGUGCCAAAGUUUACUCAAUUGUUCCCUUACUAACUUUCAAUGUGUUUCUGGUUUGGUUAUUUUGUUUACUAUAAAUAAGGUUUCAAUAAACAUCUUUGUACAUGCAUCCUAA